UGACCUCAAAUCAGGUAGGACUACCCGCUGAACUUAAGCAUAUCAAUAAGCGGAGGAAAAGAAACUAACAAGGAUUCCCCUAGUAACUGCGAGUGAAGCGGGAAAAGCUCAAAUUUAAAAUCUGUCAGUCUUUGAUUGUCCGAAUUGUAAUCUAGAGAAGUGUUAUCCGCGUUGGACCGUGUACAAGUCUCCUGGAAUGGAGCGUCAUAGAGGGUGAGAAUCCCGUCUUUGACACGGACUGCCAGGGCUCUGUGAUACACUCUCAAAGAGUCGAGUUGUUUGGGAAUGCAGCUCAAAAUGGGUGGUAAAUUCCAUCUAAAGCUAAAUAUUGGCGAGAGACCGAUAGCGAACAAGUACCGUGAGGGAAAGAUGAAAAGAACUUUGGAAAGAGAGUUAAACAGUACGUGAAAUUGCUGAAAGGGAAACGCUUGAAGUCAGUCGCGUUGUCCAGGGAUCAACCUUGCUUUUGCUUGGUGUAUUUUCUGGUUAACGGGUCAGCAUCAAUUUUGACUAUUGGAAAAAAGUCAAGGGAAUGUGGCAUCUUAGGAUGUGUUAUAGCCCUUGGUUGCAUACAAUUGUUGGGAUUGAGGAACUCAGCACGCCGCAAGGCCGGGUAUCUAAUGACCACGUACGUGCUUAGGAUGC
rnacentral:rRNA from 1 species